UACGGAGGGGGCGAGCGUUAUUCGGAAUCAUUGGGCGUAAAGGGCGCGUAGGCGGGCUCACAAGUCAGGGGUGAAAUCCCACGGCUCAACCGUGGAAGUGCCUUUGAUACUGUGGGUCUUGAGGGAGGUAGGGGCGUGCGGAACUUCCGGUGGAGCGGUGAAAUGCGUAGAUAUCGGAAGGAACACCGGUGGCGAAAGCGGCGCGCUGGACCUCUUCUGACGCUGAGGCGCGAAAGCCAGGGGAGCAAACGGG
rnacentral:rRNA from 1 species